GAGACGGAGAUGAGCGGUAGCGACGCCGCUCAUCUUCUCCGGAUCCGCGACCUUGCGCUCUCCCUCUCCGUCGCCGUUGAGCGGGGCCUGGCCUUUCCUCCAUCGGCCGCCUCAUGAUGUCAUUGACUUUGGAUGGAAGGGUUCUGAUGAAAGAGGGGAUGGCUUGGGCUACUGCUGUUCCAUGUCAAAGGUUACUGCAGGCAUGCUUACGGCGUUUUGGUGAUAGGGGUUAAAAUUAGUACGGCUGGACUAAUAUAGGUGUGACACAUCUGACGAACGUUACCUGUGGUAGAGGCAGCGCGGUGAUGAGAUCGAAGCAGAAGGUACGUGAGAGGUACCUCCUGGCAAUCUUGUAGGGCUGAAUCACAAGCUCCCCUCUCCCGAACACCCGGGAAGAUGGCGCGAUGAAGGCUGUCCGGAAGCGGAGGAAGAUGUGGGCCGCGUAGAACACGUCCAGCAGCGACCGUAUCAUGGAUAGCAUCAACGCCAGAGAGUACUUGAACUCGAUGCACAUGUUCUGCUGUGUCCCAGUGAGGUAGAGGAACAAGGGGUCGACGAAGAGCGAGAGCAGGCACGCGGUGAGGAAGAUCUUGUUCCACAGGUGGAUCACCCGGCCGCGGGGGUCGAAGAGCAGCUGGUUGCCUGCGUGCAUCAGUGACUCCAGCUCCUCCGAGAACGCCCGCGAUAGCACCCUGUCCUUCAGGCUUCUGCAAGACCUCUCCGGGCAGCCCCCGGAGCCUAGCUUGCAUUUCCAUGGAUCGUGAGGUAAUUUGCUGUGCUUUCUUCUCGUUGAUGGGCUCUCCAAGGAGCUUGCUUUCAAGUGUUGGAUCUCGAGAUCGUUCUGAAACCUGGAACAUGAAAUGCAAGAAAGAUAAUAUGGCAUAGUCUCGAAAACGUGAACACAAUGGAUUUUCUGGGUCUGCGACAUUGGAACAUCUACUAUAUGCAGUGAUGGGAAAACAGUGAACUAUCGAACCAACAUGCCUGAAAUUCUAUAUGCAGAAAGUCAUCAGUUUCAUCAGUUCAAUCCUAUGUUUUUCGAAUAUAGUACAGAAGAGAUUCAGGCGAGGAAGAAUUGGAGAUUGAAUGACUUUGCCAGGCUGGUUGAAAUGUCAAACAAUUUUACCCUGAUAAGCAAGUUGACACUGCUGGAGAGGACGCUCACCUGACGUUUCGUGAACCACAGCAUGCCAUGCUGCUCUUUAACAGUUUCUGGUCAAAACUAUCACGCAUACAUGGCGGCUUACUUAUAAGCAAGUGCACUUGUAUGAUCUGCAAACAGCAGGGAGAUCACAUUGCUGUCGUCUUCGGCAAAAGGGAAGAAAGUAACAUCAAAACUGUGCUCCGCCACGGGAACUGAUAGAAAGGUCCAUCUACAACUAAUUUUACAGGGAUCUCGUGAUUUUGUGCUUAAAGGCAGAUCGACCCAAGGAAAAGAUUGUUGACAUUGUUCAUUUGACAGGGAAACACCGACAACAUGUGAUCAGGCUACCAACAUGUGAUGCUCCUUUAAUGUUUCUGUGUCAUUUUCUCUUAUGUCUGAGCACAAGCCCAACCUAUUGUGCCCUCACCGUCCGGCCGUACAUUCAGGUCUAAUGAUUAUGUCCAACAGGAGAAUUCUUAAAGAUCAUCCGUGCAUAAGUACAAUUUUAAAGAGAGCAUGUAGCUAUGGUGUAAAUAAACUUCAAUAACAGUUGUACAGGUGGACACAACCUCUACGCGUAUGAUAUAAUAUGAUCAUUUCUUUGGAGGUAAUUAUGGUAAUAAGCAAACUUGAAAUGAAUAAGUAGUGAAUGCCUGCUUGCCCAGAUCUUGCUUUU